rnacentral:sRNA from 1 species
AAUCUGCCCAUGCGGGGAAGGAUGAGAAGCUUCAACCAAGGUUCGACUUGAGCGCCAGCGAGAGAGCGUUGCCGCAGGCAACGACCCGAAGGGCGAAGCGCGCAGCGCUGAGUAAUCCUUCCCCCACCACCA